AGAGUUUGAUCAUGGCUCAGGAUGAACGCUAGCUACAGGCUUAACACAUGCAAGUCGAGGGGAAACGACAUCGAAAGCUUGCUUUUGAUGGGCGUCGACCGGCGCACGGGUGAGUAACGCGUAUCCAACCUGCCCACCACUUGGGGAUAACCUUGCGAAAGUAAGACUAAUACCCAAUGAUAUCUCUAGAAGACAUCUGAAAGAGAUUAAAGAUUUAUCAGUGAUGGAUGGGGAUGCGUCUGAUUAGCUUGUUGGCGGGGUGACGGCCCACCAAGGCAACGAUCAGUAGGGGUUCUGAGAGGAAGGUCCCCCACAUUGGAACUGAGACGCGGUCCAAACUCCUACGGGAGGCAGCA
rnacentral:rRNA from 1 species